UUUCCGUAGGUGAACCUGCGGAAGGAUCAUUAUUGUAUAACCGAGGUGCGAGGCCUGUCGCUGACCCGAAAGGUCGUGCACGCCCGAGUGCCCUCACCCACAUCCAUCUCACCCCUAUGUGCACCACCGCGUGGGUCCCCCUUUGGCUUGUUCGGAGGGGGGCUUACGUUUUCACAAAAACUUUGUAUGCAGUGUAGAAUAUAUUUUUUGUUUUUGCGAUCACGCAAUCACUAAAACUUUCAACAACGGAUCUCUUGGCUCUC
rnacentral:misc_RNA from 1 species